AGUGAACGCUGGCGGUAGGCCUAACACAUGCAAGUCGAACGGCAGCACAGUAAGAGCUUGCUCUUACGGGUGGCGAGUGGCGGACGGGUGAGGAAUACAUCGGAAUCUACUUUUUCGUGGGGGAUAACGUAGGGAAACUUACGCUAAUACCGCAUACGACCUACGGGUGAAAGCAGGGGAUCUUCGGACCUUGCGCGAUUGAAUGAGCCGAUGUCGGAUUAGCUAGUUGGCGGGGUAAAGGCCCACCAAGGCGACGAUCCGUAGCUGGCCUGAGAGGAUGAUCAGCCACACUGGAACUGAGGCACGGUCCAGACUCCUACGGGAGGCAGCAGUGGGGAAUAUUGGACAAUGGGCGCAAGCCUGAUCCAGCCAUACCGCGUGGGUGAAGAAGGCCUUCGGGUUGUAAAGCCCUUUUGUUGGGAAAGAAAAGCAGCAGGUUAAUACCCCGCUGUUCUGACGGUACCCAAAGAAUAAGCACCGGCUAACUUCGUG
rnacentral:rRNA from 1 species